rnacentral:rRNA from 1 species
AUUGAACGCUGGCGGAAUGCUUUACACAUGCAAGUCGAGCGGCAGCGCGGUCUUCGGACUGGCGGCGAGCGGCGAACGGGUGAGUAAUACAUCGGAACAUGCCCAGUCGUGGGGGAUAACACUUCGAAAGAAGUGCUAAUACCGCAUACGUCCUGAGGGAGAAAGCGGGGGAUCGCAAGACCUCGCGCGAUUGGAGUGGCCGAUGUCAGAUUAGCUAGUUGGUGGGGUAAAGGCCUACCAAGGCAACGAUCUGUAGCUGGUCUGAGAGGAUGAUCAGCCACACUGGGACUGAGACACGGCCCAGACUCCUACGGGAGGCAGCAGUGGGGAAUUUUGGACAAUGGGGGCAACCCUGAUCCAGCCAUUCCGCGUGAGUGAAGAAGGCCUUCGGGUUGUAAAGCUCUUUCGGCAGGAACGAAACGGUGAGCUCUAACAUAGCUCGCUAAUGACGGUACCUGAAGAAGAAGCACCGGCUAACUACGUG